rnacentral:lncRNA from 1 species
AGACAAUGAAGACUGAAAGCCUGAGCAUGCAAUUCUUGAGGCAAAACUUUUAUUUUCUGAAAAACUGCAAAGUCAAGCCAUAUGUUUCAUUGACAUUUUCUUCUGUAGCUCUAUUGUAUUUUGUUUUGCAUAAUAUGUUAAAUCAGAUCUUUAUGUCCUGAAUGCAGUUUUCUUGACUGCUAUCCAGCUACAGUUGUUUUGCUAUGCCUAGCAGGUACUACACACAGCUGGGAUGAGAGAAGGGCGUAAUUUCAGAGAAAUACUCUGCAUGGUCUUUUGGAUCCUUAAAAUGAAGGAAGGAAUAAAAUCUAACACAUCUUUAUGUUGGACAGUAUGACAGACAAAGCAGAACUUGUGGCUAUCAAAAAGCAAAGUAGAAAGGCUUGGUGUUAAGGAAAACUGAGCUGAUGUUUGCUGCCUGCAGGGUAUAAGGCAGAUACCAGGGCAUGGAUGACAGCUUCUGUUUUCACUUACUGCUGGCAGAAGAUGGAUGACAAGUCCUUUAUGAAAGAAAGAAAGUAAAACUGCACUGAUCCGAGGUAAAGAGAUUCAGAUGUUAGUCAAAGAAACUACCCUGGAGUCCUACAACAGCAAGUACCUCAGAAGAAUGGAAGAAGGGUCAUUCAUCAGAGAGAGAUCCUUCCCAACACCGGGAGGAAAGGACAAGACACUCUUCUCCUGCUUCAAGCAGCUGUACUUCCAAAGUGAAAAAGUCCUGGUUCCACUGGAUUGAAUCAUUUAGUCUAAAACAAAGAGGUUCUAUACAGAUGGAAAAACAUGUGUGUUGAAUGACAAGCAAUGUCUUAUUUACUGAAUGUAUUAAAAAUUGUUUUUCCAGACACAUUUCAUCAAAGCAAAGCUCCAUCCUUGAGAAAACAGCUAUAUUCACAAUCAAGACAGAUGUACAAGUCAUGUGAAAUAAGGCUGCCACUGGACUGAAUUAUUUAGUUGUUUGCUAGAGACUUGAUCAAAUUCAGCCUCUGUGUAAACACAAAAACAAAAAACAAAAUUAAAUGGGACACAGUUUGAGAUGUUCUACAUCCCGAUCCAAUCUUAUCAUCUGUGUGCAUCAGAUCUUUGGAAAUGUUAGUGUAAAAAUGUCCUUAUAGUGAAUGCAAACUUGUGGAUACAUUUUGGAUUAAAUAGUCCAUAAGAUUCAAUAGCAUAAUUUAGAAAAAAAGCAAUAAUCAAUCACACAUGCAUGAAGGAGUUUGAAUUUCCAAUGUGGUCAACUCUGGAAAAGUCCAUCUUCUGACAAAUAAAUGCAAGUGUUUUUUCA